GAAGCGCGCGGGCGGGCCGACGAGGCAGUUCCGGUCGGCGCAGGCGGCCCCCUCCCGCUCGGAAGGUGAGUGGGCGCCGGUCCGCCGGGUCCGCCCUGCCCGCGACGUCCCGCGCGGUGACUGCGGCCGUCGCUGCACGCGGCCCCAAGGCGGCGCGGGGAGCAGCCCGGGUCGGGCGCGGGAGGAGGACGGGGCCAGCGCAGGCCACGCCCGCUGCCCGCGGCGCCCGCUGCCCGCUCCUGCAGAAGGCGCGUUGCUGCAGACCUCCCGCGCCGCAGUGUGGAAGAAAAACGCUCUCACGCUGGACGCGAGCCGUUCGUGCAAACCAAGUUAAGGAACAGUGUUUGGCCCCAGAUGAGUCUCGGGGUGUGGCGGGCAGGCCGGACUUGGGGGUUGCCCCCUGCGGCCUGCGACUCUGCAGGGCGGGAGGAAGAGCUUCCUGGGAUCUAAUCUAGCACCUCCGUGCCCCAGCAGGCAUGUUCAGCUUUUCACCCCCCCAGGGCCAGGAGCCCCCGGAUAUGGUACAGGAGGUUCCCCUGGAAGUGUCAGCAUGCUCUUAUGGUGGGUGAAGCCUCGGGUUGGAAGGACAUUCAGGAUCUUUUGCUGAAGAACUUGGGGUCAGUCACUGCAGGUCUGCUGAUGCUGUCCAGGUGACGUCCUAAUAGGAUUUCACAUUGAACAAAACCUCCCAGGUCCUUGAAUCGCCUCCUACCACAAGCUGGGCACCUCUCCACUUGCCCUUACCUCUUGGCAUCCUUGUGUUCCUGAAUGAGGAACACUGUGUCAUAUGGGGCUGCUUAGGACCUGGUGUGUUGUCCCCUCUCCCCACAGACUUCUCCACCACCCUCAUCUGCCUUGAUUUUCAUUUUCUUCAGGUCCCAGGUGCACACACCUUCAGGAAGUCUCUGGAAGAUGGCGGCUCUAGGAGCUGUUGAGGAAGUUCUUCCUGUCCCAUCUCCCAUCAGUCUGUCAUCAUCAGGGACACCUGGAGCCCGGCACCACACAGCACAGCUUCACCUCCACAGUCAUCCACACGGUACUCAUCUGGCCCACUGUGUUCCCUCUGCCCUACCUCCACACUAUGGAGCCCCCAUCUGACCCAGCAACCCAGCUGGCUGAGAGGCAGCAGCAGACAGUUGUGCAGCUUCUUGGAGGCAGGGGCCUGAGAGGCAGCGCUAGGUCAGGACUCAGCCGUGGGAGGAGACCAAACCCAUGUCUGGCUUCCUAGGAAAAAGCCCCUGGGACCAUGGGACCAUUUCUUCCCUGGUGUAGAAAGAGUAGCCUCAGAAUCUGGGUCUGGUGUGAGCAGGAGUGAGCCAGCACCCCCAGCCCUGUCUGAAGCUGUGUUCCCAAGCAGGAGAAGAGAGCCCAGAGUUGUUGCUAGGCUGCUUUGGGUAUGGAACCUGUGGGACCUGCAGGGAUGGAGCCAUUGGCCUUGGUUUUACCCACAGUGUGUGUCUUUACUGGUCACAAGUAAGGAGCAGGCAGGGUGCACUGUGCCCCUGGCACACCUGGCUCUUGGGUCAUGGUGUCCUGAGGCUUCCUCUCUGUGUUGGAUAGCCAGGCUCAGUGCUCCUAAGAGCCUGAGCCAUUGACAGCAAAGACAAGGUCCCUCGUAAGGUAUGUCCUGGCAGCCUGCACCUAUGUUUAGAAGCUGGUGAAAGGUCCAGGAAAACAGCCUUCCUGGUGCCCAAGGUUCUCAGUCUUGGCUGUUCUUGUUAGUCUGUCUACUGGCAUAGUGACGCUGAGGCUUGUGGAGCAUGACUGCUGUACCAGGUCUAGGAUGAGCUUUUCAAAGCCCAGCCACAGCCUUUCACAUGCACACUCACAGAUAAGGACAGAGAGGACACCAAUAGCCAGGAAAUCACAUGGUGCAGCACAGGCCAAAAUGGGAGUUGUGAGCUCUGCGUCUGCUGCCUGACGGCAGGACCUUUUGCCCCUGCCCAUCCCCAGGAUAUUGCUGGGAAAGUACUUCUUUGGAGCACCUUGCAGUGGUUCCUGUGAACUAGGUGGAAUGUCUGGAAGGACCUCAGACUUAUUCUGUGCCGAGCCUUGUGGGGCCACCCCUACCACCAUCUCUUUCUCCUCUCCGGUGGUUUCUGGACCUUCAAGGGCCCCUGGCCUGUGCCCAGGGCCUGCGUCUCAGAGCCCAGAGCUGAGCCCCUUUGCCAUCUGGUUUCUCAGGAGUGCUCCAAGGCCCACAGAUCCCUGACAGACCCCAGUGUUUCCAGAACCUGCCCAGGGUUCCCCUGCCAGUUAGAAUUCGAGCCAGAACUUCUUAGAGCCAAUCCUUCCAGCUUCCAAGUCAGAGUCUGAGAUGAGCCAGAGGAAGCCCACCCAGGAGCCCUGAGUCCCAGUGAUCGUCAGAAGCCCACCCCAUACCCAGUCACUCCUAGAGACUCUCUGGCUGGGCUCAUACUGGGCACUUGGUGUCCUUGCAAGAGGAGCUGGCUCCUUCCUCCUCAGAGGAAAUGAAGGAUGCAGGGGGUUCAUUAAGCAGGGUGCUCAGCUGUCCCUGUGGGCAGCAGGCUGAGAUCCUGUGUCCGAAGCUGAGACCACCUCCUGGCUGGUCCCAGCCUCUUAGAGCAGGCUAGGAAGCAGGUGUAGGACAUAGUUGUUCUUCUCCCAGGACCUCUGUGUUCCUACAUAGACACAGGUCAGGGGCCAUGGCCAGUUUUGGGGUGCUGAGGGUCUGACACAGCUCCUCAGGGUCUGUGUUGUAUCAAUAUAGGGGCAGUGGAGGGCAGUGGGGCCUUCUGAUGGGGGCAUGGGAAGGAGGCCAGGCCAGAGACUGCCCAGCUUUUGUCUGCUUACAGAGCAAGGGAGGGUAAGUCCCAAAGCCAGGUUCUCAGGAGGGCUUCCUGGGGCAGCUCUUGACCAAGCCGGGGAGGAGGAGAAAGGGUACUCCUGGCUGGGGAGGCUCCUGGCAGUGGCACGGAGUCAAGCUGCCCUGCUCUUCUAGAGGUGCUGGGGAGGUGUAUCCGUGGCAGUGGAGGAGGUGGUGCUGUGUGUUAAGGGCUUGGCCCAGGAGCACGUGGCAUCCUGUAGGUGCCCUGGGCAAGUGGGGCUGAUUCCAGGGGAGGCAGCACUCUGGAGGGUGGGGCCUGAGCCAUAGCCCCCAACCCCUAGGCUCUCCCAGCUCCAACCCUGAGGUGCUCUCCCAGCCAUCAGAACUGGAUCUCCAAGACCUAGAGGAAGUGGAGAUCGGCAGAGACACCUGGCUUGGUGAGUGAGGACCACUGCCCACCCUACCCCGGCACACUGAGCACGUUUCCCAUUGCCCUGGAGCUCCUGAGCACCAGGCUCUGGGUAUUCCCACUGCUGUGGCUGGCGGCUGCUAUCUGAGGUUGGGCAGCUGCUUCCAGGGAGUUGGGCUACAGUACAGUUGUCACUGAGGCCACCGCCACCCCAUGGAGCUCUCUGAGCAGGUAUGAGCUCAUUGGAUCUUACCCGUCUGGCAUGGCAGGCUUCAAGAGAGGCUUGUUUCUUGUCCCUCAGUACUUGAGCCCAAAGGAUCAAAGUUCCAGAUCCUUGCCAGUCCUUAAUGUCAACCCUUGGGCCACCUCCUCCCAGCUCAGAGUAGACAUGCAGGUCUCGUUAACCACUGUGUCCUCGUAGACAGCCAAGGCCCCGUACACAUGCUCAGGUCACCAUCUGACAGAGCCCAGCUGCCCCCCACCGUAUGUUUCAUCUCAGCUGUUUGGGGCAGAACACCUUGGCCACUGUUCGGGGCCUCCUUCCACCUCACCAGUCCCAAGUCAGGCUUACCCCCCCAGGUUCUGCUCUUACUUGGUCCCAGUCCCUAGAAUGCCGCAGUGGGGCUGGAGCUGGGUACCAUCUGUCUGCCGUCUCUCCUUUCAGACUCAGAGGCAGAGCCUGGGCAGGCUCCAUCAUCUCCCCACCAGCAUGUUUCUGAAGACAGGGUGGACCCAGAGGGAGGGGCUCUGAGGGGCCUCCUGAGGAACUCUCCCCACAGGCCCAAGUGUGGGGAGAGCUUUGGGCAGGAGUCCAGCCUGGAGCGGCCAGCAGACCAGCCUCCAGGGCCCAUGCCCUGCACCCUGAGGAGGAGUGCCUGGUGCCUGGCACUCCUGUCGCAGGGAGCUUCAGAGACCGAGGGCAGCCCUGAACAGGCUCCAGAGCUGGGGUGCAGCUUGGGUCCCAGGCCACCACAGGCCAGUGCACGCGGCACCAAGCCGCACCGCUGCGAAGCCUGUGGCAAGAGCUUCAAGUACAACUCGCUGCUGCUGAAGCACCAGCGCAUCCACACAGGUGAGAAGCCCUAUGCCUGCCACGAGUGCGGCAAGCGCUUCCGUGGCUGGUCGGGCUUCAUCCAGCACCACCGCAUCCACACCGGGGAGAAGCCCUACGAGUGUGGCCAGUGCGGCCGCGCCUUCAGCCACAGCUCACACUUUACGCAGCACUUGCGCAUCCACAACGGCGAAAAGCCCUACAAGUGCCGCGAGUGUGGCCAGGCCUUCAGCCAGAGCUCCAACCUGGUGCGCCACCAGCGGCUGCACACGGGCGAGAGGCCCUACGCCUGCAGCCAGUGUGGCAAGGCCUUCAUCUGGAGCUCCGUGCUCAUUGAGCACCAGCGCAUCCACACGGGCGAGAAGCCCUACGAGUGCGCCGACUGCGGCAAGGCCUUCCGCGGCCGCUCGCACUUCUUCAGGCACCUACGGACUCACACCGGCGAGAAGCCUUUCGCGUGUGGUGCCUGCGGCAAGGCAUUCGGCCAGAGCUCCCAGCUCAUCCAGCACCAGAGGGUGCACUACCGCGAGUAGCCACAGCCUGGCCUGCAGUAAAUCCUGUGUGUGGAAACAGGAGCUGGCUUCUGCUGGGCGAGGUGGGCUGCUUCCCGACCUGAGGGCCACCAAGGGGGAGGGCCUGAGGCCAGGAGCCGGCCUGACCCUUCCAGAGCCUUGCCAUGGAGCCGUCAGACCUGCCCAGCACCGGAUGGGGACCAGUGGCAGCACCUGGAGCAGGCGGGGCGGACGGGGGGCUGCCUUCCAGGCUCCUGCGUUCCUCCAGCAGCCUGUGGCCUGGCCCAGGCUUCCUGUCGACCCUGGGCACAGGGUCUGCGGCAGCUGGGUCUCCUCAUGGCAGGUCUCCCCGCACAGCCCUCAGGCCUGUCCGUUGUCUCCUCCUUGCUCUUCCAUUUAGGGCUUGCAAGGUCAGCAGGCUUCCAUGAGAGGACCUCCCCGACCUGUGUUCUCCCUACCUGCCUCCCAUGCUGCUCCUGCUCUGACAAGGUGGGGACCUUGAGUUGUUGGGGCUGGACAGGUGUGCAGAGGGGUCAGGAUUUUGUCCUCUGAAGAUCUUCCCAGAGAGUCCUGUGGAGGGAAGGGCAGAGCCCGGUGCAGAGGGCAGGCUCCAAGCAGCCAGGGUUCCGGGCACCUUUCCUGCCCAGCUGUUCCCUCCAGAGCAGCUGAGGGACAGCAGACUCCUCCCAAGACUGCAGUGCCCAAGUGUGACCUCCCUGGCCCUCCCCACUGCUGGGCUUGCCCAGGGUUCCUGCUGGCAGGUCCCCGUGGUGGCUGGGAGGCACUACCCUGCUGCACUGGUGGUGUGCUUUGUGGCUGUCAUCAGCCCUUGGCCAGCCUGCUUCCCAGGGGACACGGAAGUUAUGAGGUGACGCAUGGCUUCCUGCAUGUCACAAGCAGUGACCCAUCUCAAGUCUCCUGAUGGGUCACACAGCCCUCUGCAGCCCCUUGAGGAAGGCACCUGUGGCCACCAAGUGCUGUUUGCCCCCACCCUGUGUCCCCAUGCCAACUGAGAGCCAAUCUAGAGGUGAGAGCUAGAGGUUAGGCUGUUGCCUGCCUCCCCCGCCCCUCAGGGAUACGUGGGCAGCGCGAGACUCUGCAGGCAGCCCAGCAGCCUCAUCACCAAGGACGGGCUCCAUUGGCAGUAAUGGAACCCAGCAGCAUCUAGGGAAGGUCCUAUGGUGCUCCAGGGGUCCCAGCCUCCUGGAAGUGGCCUUCAGGCACCUUGUGGGGCAGGGCCAGGUGCCCCAGAACUAGCUGUGGGUGCUAGUGGCUGGCAGGGCAGCUCUUCUGUGCUGGGUCUAAACCUUUGCUGAGGCAAAGUCACCGUUGUCCCUUGCUGGGCAGGACCACCAAGAUGAGCUGAAGUGGAAUUUGCAUCUCCCGUGGUACCCUUUUUCCUCCAAUCCCUGGCAGUCAGCAGAUUCCCAGAUGUUCCACCUGAUCUCCACCCAAUGUUUCCAGGAAAUUCAGUGUUAGGGGUCAGGCAUGGCUCCUCAGGACCGUUCUACUUACCCUUGCCCAUCCCCAUCAGCAUUCACUUGAUUAGAGCACUUAUCUCCUGUGCCCCAGAGGAACCUGGGCACCAUCUCCCCUCAGUUAUUCCUGCCUUGCAGGAGGUAUCUUGUCUGGGCCAGCCUGUGAAGGGCUCCUGCAGUGGCUGUUUCCAAACUCCAGAAGUGACCAUUUCUGUGAGCACAGCGUCUGCAUUUGGUCCCAGAGAAAGGGGCCCUAGAGGGACACUUGAGCCAUCAGGUCCUGGAGCUGCCAGAAAGGAUUUUGUGAGGCAGUUUCCAGGGAUUGCAGGCAAGGGGAGGGAGGGCUGUGAGCUGAUGAAUCCUAGAUGGAACCACUUGGUUUUAGAGUAUGAGGAUCUGCCCCAGGUGCCGUGAGACAAGAGGCAGAUAUAUCCAGGGUCACGCUGCGUUUUAUUGUGGAACUUACUGACAAAGGCAAAGUUGUGAUAAGAUCCAUUGCAUUCUCAAAGUUUGGAUCAGAAAGGGACAUAUAUAUGAAUCAGGACCAAAGUAACCUCAUCCUGGCUGAAUUGUACCUGGUUUAUCUUAAUAUGGAAGAGUUGGGUACAUCCCUGGAGUCGGGGUCUAACCUUGUGCAUUGUUUGCUAGUUGGUGAGUGCAAAACCACUAAGCACCACCAGGAGGAAGAGUAGAAAGGCAUAUUACUUGAAGUCAGGAGAACACGAGAUAAUUCUCAAAGCAGUGUGCCCCCCCAAAACAAAGCAAUGGGCUUUUAUUGGGGAAAUGGGCAUAUUCCCCUAGGAGGCUCAUCACUUGUAGAGGUGGGCACACUGCUGGGAAUGCUCAGUUUGAGGUCACAGCAUAGCCUUUAAAAAAAAAAAAAAAAAAAAACCCCAGCUGGCGAUGCCUCUGGGCAGAGAAUUCAGUAUUACAAUGAGCAGAGUUCACUCCAGGUCACCUAGACUCCGUGGUCAGCAGCUUGCACUGGUUCCUUGUGAGUUGCUCUGGAGAGUUUGGUCUGGAACAAAACACCUCUGAUGGAGCAUUAAGUCACUUAAGGGGCGGCUUCUCCUUUCCUCCAGGAAGCCUAGGCGUUUGUCCCCAACUGUACCAGCCCAGUGCUAACAGUAUGAUUCUGUGGCUUGUCUAUCACAGUUUGCUGGGGAACUGUGCAGGAAAAACCAAUUAGGGUUACUCUGGGGCAAUUGUGGGGGUAGACUCAAGAUGGCUGUAGUCAAGCUGAAUCUACCCAGGCUGCACGUGGCUGUGGCAAAAAGGGUCAAUCCUGGGUUUGGAGACUGCUGUUGGACACAAGGGUUUGGUUUUUACAUAAACAUACCUGUAUGGUGCAAUGGAUAAGAAAAUCAACUGUGGAACUUAAAGGACAGCUGUACUCUUAUCUGUGUAAAAUGAGAUUAAUUUCUCUGAACCUGUUUCCUGGUUAGUAAUAUGAUGAAGUCGGGUUUUCAGUGUUUUGAGAGCCCUUGGGUAAGUUGGGACUUCAGUCGCAAAGCAGUUAGCAACCCUGCCCUUCAAGGGGAUAGAGGAGGCCAGAUCCUGGUGUUGACCAGGUGCCCCUCACGGGAUACUUCCUUCAUCUGGUAGGUAGCCUUGUGUUUAGCUGUGGACCUGUACCAAGGUUUCCUCACUUGGGAGCGUGUCUAUGCUGGCAGACACCUGAGUGGCUCUUGUCUGACCCAUUUUGUGGAAGGCAAUCCAUCUUUGCCCCCGCGGUUCCUUUCUAAGUACUCCGCUCCUGCAGCUGGUCCGACUGUGCCUAGCCUGGGUUCAUUGCUGGACGCUCGCGUUCCCACCCCAGUCCCGGCCAGCACCCCCUCUCUCCUGGACCACAGCCUCAACCCAGAGUUGGAUUCCCUUUUUCUUCCCACCUACAAGCACAAAGGCCUUGACGCCCCCCACUUCCCGCAAGCCCUUAUGGCCUGUAGGUCCCCUUGCUUGCCCCGUCUGUGCCCCACCGCCGCAUCCCCUAGCACCUCGGACAGCGCCGGGCGAGCAGCCGCGGUCCCCAGGCUGGACUUGGGAGCCAGCCUUCGGAAGUGCCUGCGGCGUGGGGCGGGGCCUGCUGGCCGCGCUUCCGUCUCAGCGGUGCGCGUGCCGCGCGCUGGAACUUGGGCCUCCGGGACCACGGAGCACCCCUCUGCCCCCGAGCCGGCCGGCCGUGCGUCCUCCGGGGCCCCUCUGGUCCCGGUCCGCCCCGCGCGCGGCGGCCAGCUGCAGCUGUGAGCGUGGGGUGUGUCCCCUGCAUCAAGCCAGGGACCCACUCCGCAGGCGCGCCUUGAACGAGGCCGGUACCGUCUGGCCAGCGACACCUGGUGGCCACCGUGAAAGGAGGGAGGCUGGAGGAGUCGUGGGGAAAGCUGCGCGGCGCGUUCCUCUCCGCGAAGGCGCGUCCUGGAAUGUCGGGACAGCGCUUUCUCAGUGCAGCCCACCGGGAUCGCCGAGCGUCUGCCCCUGUCGCCUUCUCCUGCACACCAGUCGGGGCGAAAGGGAUGCUCCUGCUGUUGCCGCCGGAAGAGACCCACCCUCCUGGACCUUGCCUGGACACGGUCUGUUGGCCAGGCAGCUAGCCGCUGCCUGCCUCCUGCGCAGUCCUGUGUCCCUUCGGAGCGCACCUGGGCUCUAAGCACAGCCCGGUGGGUGUCUUCUGAGACCCUCAGGACCUGUCCCAGGACCGGAAGUGUACAUCCCAGCCAAUGGGCUCUGGCACCGGCUCUAACCUUGUCUCCCGCCUCACCUGCCCAGGGAGACCGGCCAGACUCUCCGUCAGGCAGCCAGGAUCCCAGAACACCGUACUUACCUCUCCAGCCCCCUUCUUCGUCCCUCGGGCUCGAGCCCCAACCCUGCUGCCUCCCCUCACUCAGCCAGCAGCCUCCAUGGGCUCUGCCAACAGCCCACCCUUGCCUGCUGCCCUACUGGGUGGGUGGGAGGUACCCCGCCACACCGCAGAUCUCAGGGAGGAAAGUUGAAGUCGCAUCCUUAAAAAGCACGUUUUUAACAAAUUUCUUUUCCCCAAAGCAUUUGUUUGUGGUCUUUAAAGAAAUUUUAGAAAAUGUAAAAAGAAAGAAAAAGAAUAAUGGAAACCAGGAAACGUUUUUCCUUCCUGUCAGUAAUUAUGAAGAAGUGUUUGCCUAUAUUUUCAAUCAGUUCUUGGUUUUAAAACGAACUCAAUGCUCAACUCAUCCCUAAAAUAAUCUUCCUGACCUGAGGUCUCAGAUCUGCCAGGAUCUGUCCUGGAGCCCUUGUCCCCGCCUUGUGAGGGGCUCCAGGGGGAUGAGGCCCUGCACACAGCUGUGUGCUGAGCCCAGGACUGGACUCUGGAGCCCACACUGCACUCCCACCGCUGCCCUGUCCUCCCUCAGUUUGCUGUGACUGUGAGUGGAUGGCGUGUUUCCAGGGAGGAUGCCUAGAUGGGGGUCACAGGGGCAGCGGUGUGAGCAGCGUCCUCCAGUCUCACUUUCAGUGUCCUGGAAUGCCCAUCCAUGCUCCUUGGGAGAGACCUUUUAUCCCAAAUGGGAGAGCUGUUCCUAAGUGUGUCCCCAGCAUGGGAAGCAGGUUUGGCCAGUUUCGCCCCAGGCAUUGCCCAGGGGUGCUUCAUGCAUUCCAGUGCAUCUGGUGCUAGCGGAGAUCUCAAAGUCAGGAGGAUGCUCCAGAGAGCCUGGCUGCUUGUGGGCCGCUUUCAGAAUGUCCAGCAGUUGGUGAUUUUGUCACAUACCCCCCUACCCACUCUCUAAUUCAGUACAGCAUGCUAGCCCCAGGCAGCUGAGGUGAAAAGCACUGACUCCCAAGAGCCAGAUAGCCCCCCAUGGCCUGGGGGGAGGCAGGAGGGGACAGAAGUCCACCUGUGUGUUGGGGGGGCAGGGGGACUCAGUCUUGUAAUUCGCGUUGGGCCCAGCUCGGACCCGGGCCUUGGGCGGGGCGUCAUCUGCCCGCAGACGGGCAGUGUGGUUUGGUGCAGAUUCAGGCUUUCCUUGAGGUUCUCAUAGGCAGCCUGUCCUGGCAGGAGAGCGGUUGCCCUGUUGCCAGUUCUGCCAUGUCCCUUACAGGAGCCAGGUCUUCCCUAAGCUGUGGCCCCAUGUCUUCUUUAAAAUGCAGUGUCCCUCUUUCCUCACCUCUCCAGCCCACAGACCACUCUCCUGGGUCACACUAGGCCUGUGGGACAUUCUCCACCUCUCCUCAGAGGCUGCCCAGGCGGCGCUGUGUCCAGCCAACUCCAGCCCAGACUUAGCAGAGAGCAGGACCACAUCACCAUGCCCUCUGCUCUUUCUCUUCUGUGACUUAUUUUUAGGAAGAAACAAGAAGGUUCUAGAAAUAGUUAGGAGCGCACUGUGCCACAGCAGCUCAGUGAGGACAAGGGGCAGGUCCCAGAUGAGACACAGAGGCCGCUCCGCAGGGAGCUGAGGCACAAUGCUUGCUGGUGACAAGCAGGGUGGUGGGCAGACAGGCCCACAGAGAGGUCCUUGGACAGUCCUGGGAGCAGACAGCCUGUCCCCUGCUGACUCUGUGAGGUCCUGUGCCCCGCCUGCGCCUGGCAGUCACCUCUCCUUUGGUCCUAUGGCCUGCCUUUAGGCCAGGGAGCAGGAACCCACUGAGCUUUUCAGCCCUGGCACCUUUAAGGAGUGCUAAGCUGCGGUGACUUAGGCCUGUGGUCAGCAUUCGGAGGUGCAGGGCUCAGGCCCUUUCCAAUACCCACAAGUCCCGCCACCACUCCCUGCUGCACCCCUCCCCUGACUCGGGCAAUGGCAAGGCCCUACUGAGGUGGACGAUGCAAGGUGUCCAUCCUCUGGAGGAGCGCAGUAUGUUUCUGGGAAUGGCCUGGUUUGUUUUUGUAUUCCUUUAAUAAGUGUAGUUGCGACCAUUAAGUAUGAAGGAAAAAACGUGACUUUCCCAAUUAAUGCAACUACUUCUAAAGAAUGAAUCUGUUUGCUCUAAAUGAUUCAGCUGUGGAACUGUACAUCGUUAAUGUUUAAUGAGAAACCCCCUGUAGGAAAAACAGUCAAGGAAGUUUUUGAGAAAUUAAAUUAAAGUCUAGAGAAGAAGAAUUCAUGUUAAGAAGACAGAUUAGUGCUUGGUACUGGCAACUUGUUCUUGUUCCUGUGCACAAUGGUUUGAUGCUCUUACUCUUGUUUGAUUAAAAUUAGUAGCCUCUCUUUUCAAGUUAACCACUUGCCAUAACCGUGGUGCUGUUCUAGUCAAUAAGUCAAGAAAGAAUAGUCAAGGUAUAGGCCAGUAGUCUGGACAUUUCUAACUAUUAUUAAAAGCUAACUAACAGAAACAGCUCAAAGCAAAACGCAAACUGAAAAUAAAAAUGCUUGCUUAUGCAUAAGCCAGGAUACAUUCUUCUUAUCUAAUUGUAGCUACGUAAUAUUUUGUUUCUUUGAAUAAUGAUUCCUGUUUUGUAACCACAAAGUACUGUGAGCCUGCCAAAAUGAAAAGUAUGUAUGAUCAACUUCACAAGUAGAGAUGGGGAGUCGGCACCUUCA
rnacentral:lncRNA from 1 species